rnacentral:rRNA from 1 species
UACGGAGGGGGCUAGCGUUGUUCGGAAUUACUGGGCGUAAAGCGCACGUAGGCGGCUUUGUAAGUUAGAGGUGAAAGCCCAGGGCUCAACCCUGGAAUUGCCUUUAAGACUGCAUCGCUUGAACAUCGGAGAGGUAAGUGGAAUUCCGAGUGUAGAGGUGAAAAUUCGUAGAUAUUCGGAAGAACACCAGUGGCGAAGGCGACUUACUGGACGAUUGUUGACGCUGAGGUGCGAAAGCGUGGGGAGCAAACAGG